GUAACACGUGAGUAACCUGCCCUUGACUCUGGGAUAAGCACUGGAAACGGUGUCUAAUACCGGAUAUUUCAGCUGGCCGCAUGGUCUGGUUGUGGAAAGAAUUUUGGUCAAGGAUGGACUCGCGGCCUAUCAGGUUGUUGGUGAGGUAAUGGCUCACCAAGCCUACGACGGGUAGCCGGCCUGAGAGGGUGACCGGCCACACUGGGACUGAGACACGGCCCAGACUCCUACGGGAGGCAGCAGUGGGGAAUAUUGCACAAUGGGCGAAAGCCUGAUGCAGCAACGCCGCGUGAGGGACGACGGCCUUCGGGUUGUAAACCUCUUUUAGUAGGGAAGAAGCGAAAGUGACGGUACCUGCAGAAAAAGCACCGGCUAACUACGUGCCAGCAGCCGCGGUAAUACGUAGGGUGCAAGCGUUGUCCGGAAUUAUUGGGCGUAAAGAGCUCGUAGGCGGUUUGUCGCGUCUGCUGUGAAAACUGGAGGCUCAACCUCCAGCCUGCAGUGGGUACGGGCAGACUAGAGUGCGGUAGGGGAGAUUGGAAUUCCUGGUGUAGCGGUGGAAUGCGCAGAUAUCAGGAGGAACACCGAUGGCGAAGGCAGAUCUCUGGGCCGUAACUGACGCUGAGGAGCGAAAGCAUGGGGAGCGAACAGGAUUAGAUACCCUGGUAGUCCAUGCCGUAAACGUUGGGAACUAGAUGUGGGGGCCAUUCCACGGUCUCCGUGUCGCAGCUAACGCAUUAAGUUCCCCGCCUGGGGAGUACGGCCGCAAGGCUAAAACUCAAAGGAAUUGACGGGGGCCCGCACA
rnacentral:rRNA from 1 species